GCGAACGCUGGCGGCAGGCCUAACACAUGCAAGUCGAGCGGCCGUAGCAAUACGGCAGCGGCAGACGGGAGAGUAACACGUGGGAACGUGCCUAUCAGUUCGGAACAACCCAGGGAAACUUGGGCUAAUACCGGAUACGCCCUUACGGGGAAAGAUUUAUCGCUGAUAGAGCGGCCCGCGUCUGAUUAGCUAGUUGGUGAGGUAACGGCUCACCAAGGCGACGAUCAGUAGCUGGUCUGAGAGGAUGAUCAGCCUCAUUGGGACUGAGACACGGCCCAAACUCCUACGGGAGGCAGCAGUGGGGAAUAUUGGACAAUGGGCGCAAGCCUGAUCCAGCCAUGCCGCGUGGGUGAUGAAGGCCCUAGGGUUGUAAAGCCCUUUCGGCGGGGAAGAUAAUGACGGUACCCGCAGAAGAAGCCCCGGCUAACUUCGUGCCAGCAGCCGCGGUAAU
rnacentral:rRNA from 1 species